rnacentral:tRNA from 1 species
GUGGAUAUAGUUCAGUGGUAGAGCGUGUAGUUAGUAUGAACAAGGUCCUGGGUUCAAUCCCCAGUACCACC